CCUACGGGGGGCAGCAGUGAGGAAUAUUGGUCAAUGGACGAGAGUCUGAACCAGCCAAGUAGCGUGAAGGAUGACUGCCCUAUGGGUUGUAAACUUCUUUUAUAUGGGAAUAAAACAGGGUAUGCAUACCCUUUUGUAUGUACCAUAUGAAUAAGGAUCGGCUAACCCCGUGCCAGCAGCCGCGGUAAUACGGAGGAUCCGAGCGUUAUCCGGAUUUAUUGGGGUUAAAGGGAGCGUAGGUGGAUUGUUAAGUCAGUUGGUAAAAUUUGCGGCUCAACCGUAAUAUUGCAGUUGAAACUGGCAGUCUUGAGUACAGUAGAGGUGGGCGGAAUGCGUGGUGUAGCGGUGAAAUGCUUAGAUAUCACGAAGAACUCCGAUUGCGAAGGCAGCUCACUGGACUGCAACUGACACUGAUGCUCGAAAGUGUGGGUAUCAAACAGGAUUAGAUACCCGUGUAGUC
rnacentral:rRNA from 1 species